AGAUUAAAACCUGUGCCACUCCCUCAAGACUCCUUGCCAUCACCGAGUGACACAAAUGUCACCAAGGGCCACCUUUGCCAGGCAGCACUCUCUACUGCCACCUUUUGGAGACACAUAAAGCUGUCCUAUCUAGGAUGCUCUCUGACUCAAUGACACAAUGACAAGUCCGCCCUGUGAGUCGAUGGUGAUCCUAAUUGACCUGGGCCUCACCACUGUCCCCCACCUCAAUUCAGGGGCCCAAAGCCACACCGAGAACACAGCAAGGGCUUUCUCCUUUCACUGAGAGAGGAGCAGGCGAGUGGAUGAGCCAGUCCACUGCGCUUAAGAGGAAGUGAUCCUUGCAGAGUCUGUUCCCACUUGGGGGCUUGCGUCUCCUGUGGGGUCAAGGGAGUAAAGACGGAGUGUGUCUCUUCCAGCUCUGGAGGGGUUGGGUUAUCUGAGGUAGGAGUCUCGCUACCCAUGUACCCAAUGGUUAGAGCUAUCGAUGCUGCCGUCCGCUGAGAGCUUCUAGCAGGGAGCUCACAGGGACUGAGGUAAGAGCAAAUUCACUCCUUUGAGAGGCCACGAGCAAGGUACCAUCUAAGCAUGUCAAAGCCAGCGCCUGUUUUAUCUGUCCCUACAUGGGUGGAAGCAAGAACUGUGACUAAAAUUCUGUCCUAGUUACUGAUGUGAA
rnacentral:lncRNA from 1 species